rnacentral:tRNA from 1 species
GGGUCUGUAGCUCAGUUGGUUAGAGCGCACCCCUGAUAAGGGUGAGGUCGGCAGUUCCAAUCUGCCCAGACCCACCA